AUUAACCUCCGAAAUAACCUCUCAAUUAACCUCCCAUUUUCAUUAAGCUUUUCAAUAUGGCCGGAAAGUCAGUUUUUAUUCCCCUUCUUUUGGUGCUAGUGAUGGUUUGCAUGCCCUACGGUGGAAUUAGCAGGGAAAUAUCUCCAGUGUUCCAUAUACAGUCGUCGUGCGGUAGUAGCUGUUGCCCAAUGCCUGGCGGCGGAUGUGACCCGGCCAAAUGCAAUGACCUUUGCAAAGCCAGCCCAAGCAGCCCAGAUGGUCGUUGUGAUAGAAAUACCAGAAUGUGUUGUUGUGUCUGAACCAUAUACAAAACAUGGCAUUAAAGUUUUGUCAACCUUUUAACCAAAUAAUGAUAAUACCAUUCAUUUAUCCCUAUUUCUGUCUUUUUUUUAUAUAAUAUAAAGUUUUAUUUUCUCCUA